rnacentral:rRNA from 1 species
AGGUAUACGGGGGGAACCGCCUGAACUGAAACAUCUAAGUAGGGCGAGGAAGAGAAAUCAAAAGAGAUUCCGAAAGUAGUGGCGAGCGAAAUCGGAAGAGGCCAAACCGGAAGCAGCAAUGUUUCCGGGGUUGUGGACUGUAUCAAGCUAAUUUGUUUUUAGUUGAACUGCAUGGGAAGGCAGGCCGGAGAACGUGAGAGCCGUGUAAGCGAAAAGAACAGACAGCGGGCAGUAUCCAGAGUACCGCGGGACACGUGAAACCCCGUGGGAAGCAGGGGGGACCACCCUCCAAGCCUAAAUACUCCCCAGUGACCGAUAGCGCAAAGUACUGUGAAGGAAAGGUGAAAAGGACCCCGGGAGGGGAGUGAAAGAGAACCUGAAACCCUGAGCCUACAAGCACAUAGAGCACAUCAAAGUGUGAUAUGGUACCUUUUGUAGAAUGGUCCGGCGAGCGUAUGUAUGUAGCAAGGUUAAGGACUUAAGGUCCGGAGCCGAAGGGAAACCGAGUCUGAAAAGGGCGAAGAGUUUCAUGCAUAGGGCCCGAAACCGGGUGACCUAUCCAUGUCCAGGUUGAAGUGGGCGUAAAAGCCCAUGGAGGACCGAACCGACCUCCGUUGAAAAGGCGGCGGAUGAGGUGUGGAUAGCGGAGAAAUUCCAAUCGAACCCGGAGAUAGCUGGUUCUCCCCGAAAUAGCUUUAGGGCUAGCGUCAAGUUAGAUUACCGGAGGUAAAGCACUGAAUGGGCUAGGGGCCGAGAGGUUACUGAACCCUAUCAAACUAAGAAUGCCGGAGAAUUGAUGCUUGGCAGUCAGACUACGUGAGAUAAGUCUCGUGGUCGAGAGGGAAAAAGCCCAGACCCACAGCUAAGGUCCCGAAGUAGAUUUAAGUGGAAAAGGAUGUGGAAUUGCGAAGACAACCAGGAUGUUGGCUUAGAAGCAGCCACACAUUCAAAGAGUGCGUAAUAGCUCACUGGUCGAGUGACUCUGCGCCGAAAAUUCAACGGGGCUAAAAUCUACACCGAAGCUAGGGAAUCCGCAAGGAUUGGUAGGGGAGCGUCGAAUACGAGGAGAAGCAUUAGCG